rnacentral:rRNA from 1 species
GUGCUAUUCCUAGAGAUAGGAAGGUUCCUUCGGGACACGGGAUACAGGUGGUGCAUGGUUGUCGUCAGCUCGUGUCGUGAGAUGUUGGGUUAAGUCCGCAACGAGCGCAACCCCUAUUGUUAGUUGCCAUCAUUAAGUUGGGCACUCUAACGAGACUGCCGGUGAUAAACCGGAGGAAGGUGGGGAUGACGUCAAAUCAUCAUGCCCCUUAUGACCUGGGCUACACACGUGCUACAAUGGAUGGUACAACGAGUCGCGAGACAGUGAUGUUUAGCUAAUCUCUUAAAACCAUUCUCAGUUCGGAUUGUAGGCUGCAACUCGCCUACAUGAAGUCGGAAUCGCUAGUAAUCGCGGAUCAGCACGCCGCGGUGAAUACGUUCCCGGGCCUUGUACACACCGCCCGUCACACCACGGGAGUUGGGAGUACCCGAAGUAGGUUGCCUAACCGCAAGGAGGGCGCUUCCUAAGGUAAGACCGAUGACUGGGGUGAAGUCGUAACAAGGUAGGCGUAGCGAG